rnacentral:rRNA from 1 species
GUGCCAGCAGCCGCGGUAAUACGUAGGUGGCAAGCGUUGUCCGGAUUUACUGGGCGUAAAGCGCGCGCAGGCGGUUUGGUAAGUCUGUGGUGAAAUCUCUCGGCUCAACCGAGAGGGGUCUGCAGAUACUCCCAGACUUGAGUGCCGUAGACGAAGAUGGAAUUCCGGGUGUAGUGGUGAAAUGCGUAGAUAUCCGGAGGAACACCAGUGGCGAAGGCGGUCUUCGAGGCGGUAACUGACGCUGAGGCGCGAAAGCGUGGGGAGCGAACCGGAUUAGAAACCCCUGUAGUCC